ACAUCCAGCGAACUUGGCAGAGAUGCCUUGGUGCCUUCGGGAACGCUGAGACAGGUGCUGCAUGGCUGUCGUCAGCUCGUGUUGUGAAAUGUUGGUUAAGUCCCGCAACGAGCGCAACCCUUAUCCUUUGUUGCCAGCGAUUCGGUCGGGAACUCAAAGGAGACUGCCGGUGAUAAACCGGAGGAAGGUGGGGAUGACGCCAAGUCAUCAUGGCCCUUACGAGUAGGGCUACACACGUGCUACAAUGGCGCAUACAAAGAGAAGCGACCUCGCGAGAGCAAGCGGACCUCAUAAAGUGCGUCGUAGUCCGGAUCGGAGUCUGCAACUCGACUCCGUGAAGUCGGAAUCGCUAGUAAUCGUGGAUCAGAAUGCCACGGUGAAUACGUUCCCGGGCCUUGUACACACCGCCCGUCACACCAUGGGAGUGGGUUGCAAAAGAAGUAGGUAGCUUAACCUUCGGGAGGGCGCUUACCACUUUGUGAUUCAUGACUGGGGUGAAGUCGUAACAAGGUAAGCGUAGCGAG
rnacentral:rRNA from 1 species